CCGAGCACGUACAUAAUGUACACUUUUCGAUUCGUCCGCGCUUAAUUCACUCGUACACCCGCGACGAUUCGGACGCGCGUUUUGUGCUCGCUCGGGUACCACACACCACAACGGUGACAUUUUUCCUUCAAAGCUUUGUUGUUCCACCUUAUCCUUGCAGCGUGAUGAGAUAAAACAAUAAAAUUCCUCCUGCCAAUGUAGCUACUGACAAAACAGCGAGUCAACAGCUCAUUUCAUCUUCCACAUCUUCCGACGAUGCAACUACAUUCAGUGACAGUUUUAUACCCUCCGGUGGUGAAAUAGUGAAACAACAAAACGAAACAAAAAAAUAAACCCAAGUGCAAACUCUAGUGCAAAUACCGACUACGUAAGGCUACUGAGAGCGCGUCGCCAACAACAGGGCAGCACGAGCACGACGAAAAAAAAACGCUCUGCGAAACUGUGCGGCAGUUUCCAGCAUGAUAUCCUUUACGAUCAAACCAGCACUGGAAGGCGUUAGAACGACGACAGACGGACGUGUGAAGAACGUGCCAACAGCGGUCGCAGUGAAACCGGAAGCAGCAGCAGCAGUCGCACUGUAGUGAGCGGCAGAGAAA